rfam:Bacillus sp. SJS contig_01, whole genome shotgun sequence.
AUACAAGGAUGUUCUGCUAAGAGCGCGACGUCCUGUCGCAACGCAGAACUGACCCGCAUCCUGCGGG